AUUUUCGGAAAGUUAUGUUCGGACGACGUUUUACAAGGCACGUUUGCCGCUUCAAUAAAAUGAAACAUCAGUACGCACUAUAUUUUAACGGCGCAAUUUUCAUACACUUGUUACAUUUAUUGUUGUUUUAUUUUAUGAUUUGUCUGACCUUUUCCAGUCUAACACGCGUUUGCUUGUAUUUUAUUACUUGCUUAUACAAAUUUGAAUUUCGCACUCGUCAGCUGCUUCCGUGCUUAUCGCUACUUUGACGUUUGUAAAUUUGACAAUAACUCCGGUGGCUGCUUUAUGACGCGUGACUUUUGGUGGGUGGCUAUUAUGGGUGUUAUUGGACAUGCUCAUCACGCAUUGAUUUUGGCUUAUCAGCUUAUUAAUUUACAUGUGCUUGUACAUUUGUAAGUGUAAAUCACGCGUGCGACGCACUCAAUGUGAAUACAAGUGUUUCUACAUAUAAAAACAAAUAUUAUUUACUAUCGCAAUUAAAUAUCAAUGUAAUUAUUACAAUGCACGUACGCCACAAGCCAGAUGGCUCUUAGGGUAGGCACAGAGUGGACCCUUAAAGCUGACAGGAGCGGAAAUUCGCGUGUUUCGUAAAUGGGAAAAUGCGCUCGGCUCGGAUUGAAGCGUCCUUAGAUAUCCCCAUUGUAUUUGCAUUCUGCCAAUCAAUUCUUCCGGUCCAAAAAGAAGUGAACGCCUCCGGGAUCUCCGGAAUCUUUCUUUCUUCUUCACUGCAAGGAGCCUAAAACUCUGUACUUCUUAAUUCCCAGCGACCCUGUUCACCAUUUGGACAAAGAAGUACAGACUAGACCUCAAUAUUUUUGUCGAUGACGUUAAAAUCCCGACAAUGAACGACCUCACAAUUUUGGGAGUUACGUUGAAUAGCCUGUACACUUUCACAGCGCAUACCACGGCGAUCAUUACUAAAGUACAAAGGCGCCAGAAGAUCCUCAAAUUGCUGGACGACAGUAUCUGGGCUCAAACAUGGUCGCCUCAUUGUCGUAAGACGCAGCUGAAUAAAUGUAUGAUAUACAAGCCAGAACACCGCACUGGAACAAUCAUAGCAUGUCUUUUGAGGUCCCAAGUCGUACAAAUUCAUAAUGAGGCUCUCAUGCGUUCUGCUUAACACAAGUUGAAACGCUACCCAUCAACCAACCAUUCUUCUUAGUAAAAGGUUUAGAAAUUCGUAUUCGAUUUUCUCAUUUAAUUUAAGAUUUAAUCUAGUCAAAGAUUUGUCGCUCAAAGAGCGGCAUAUGAAAUCUAAUUCUAUUAUCUAGGCUUCUUAAAUAAUGUUUUGUUCGUUUUACAACUUUCUAAUGAAUAUUAAGUAAGCAAUUCAAUGCAUUUGUCAUACAAAUUAAGCACAAAUGUACAGCCGCAAGUAUAAUUUCAAAAGUAAAUACAUACCCUGUAGGAAAAACGGUUGAAAAUUGAAAA